UACGUAGGGUCCGAGCGUUGUCCGGAAUUACUGGGCGUAAAGAGCUCGUAGGUGGUUUGUCGCGUUGUUCGUGAAAACUCACAGCUUAACUGUGGGCGUGCGGGCGAUACGGGCAGACUUGAGUACUGCAGGGGAGACUGGAAUUCCUGGUGUAGCGGUGGAAUGCGCAGAUAUCAGGAGGAACACCAAUGGCGAAGGCAGCACUCUGGACGUGACUGACGCUGAGACGCGAAAGCGUGGGAGCAACAGG
rnacentral:rRNA from 1 species